UGAGGAAUAUUGGUCAAUGGACGCAAGUCUGAACCAGCCAUGCCGCGUGAAGGAUGAAGGCGUUCUGCGUUGUAAACUUCUUUUACCAGGGAAGAAACCUGAUUUUUCUAAAUCAGCCGACGGUACCUGGGGAAUAAGCACCGGCUAACUCCGUGCCAGCAGCCGCGGUAAUACGGAGGGUGCAAGCGUUAUCCGGAUUUACUGGGUUUAAAGGGUGUGUAGGCGGACUUUUAAGUCAGCGGUGAAAUCUCCGGGCUCAACCCGGAAACUGCCAUUGAUACUAUUGGUCUUGAAUAUUGUUGAGGUGGGCGGAACGGGUCAUGUAGCGGUGAAAUGCAUAGAUAUGACCCGGAACACCGAUUGCGAAGGCAGCCCACUAAGCAAUGAUUGACGCUGAGGCACGAAAGCGUGGGGAUCAAACAG
rnacentral:rRNA from 1 species